GUCUGCAAAGAAUGGGCCUGCGCUGUGAAUUUUCACUGCUUGUAGUACUCAUUUGUAUUCAAAGCGAGACACCCUACCUUGAAAUACUUGCUUGAGUUGCAAUUAAAAAUGAGACAUAUUUUGCCCUGCUGAUAAGCAUGUUUCCCCAUUCUUCAGACUAGGCUGCUGCUGGUGCAUACUCAGAACCUGAGUACUUAAACUUCUGUGGUUGCUUUCCUGGUAGCUGAAUUUUAGUUUAUGGGGGUCCACUAACAGUGAUUCCCACAAAGUCCACUGGGCAGUGAUAUGAGGGAUUAGGCGGUCCUUGAGGGAUCCUGGACCCCAAUUCUCAAGGCCUUGUAAGUUAAUAUAAGAACCUUGAAUCUGGCUGUGUGUGUUGGCAUCGCCAGGCAAGUAGAGCAGGUGUAACUCACAUUUUCUGGUUAUGCCCUAAAAUAAAAAUAUUUUGGAAAAAGGUGGUUAUCUUUCAGCCAGAGGGCCAGAUCCAGAAGUGGCCAGCCCUCUGUGGAUCACACUGGGCAGUCAAUUACCUGAGAUCAUAUGAUUUCACGCACAGGAAAGGUAAAGCUGCAGCUGUAAAGAAACAUUUGCAGAGUGUGCUGUUUGCACUUGGCAGCUUUCUCUGCUGUGCUAUUUUCAGGAGGGAUCAGAUCAAAAGGAUCAGGAGCUCCUGUAUCUGGUCCCUGCCAAAAGCAGCAUGGUGGGUUAAGGUGCCAGAUUCAAGAAGUGCCAAAGGUACAGCCGUGGAUGCAAAUGAACCAUCAGGAGUGCUCCUGACUACUCAGGACACAGAAAAAGAACAAGUGGAAGUUUGACAAAAGCAGUGGCCCAAGGUAAGUCGUCAAAUUCAAACAGUGCAAAAUUCUAGCUGCGGCUGAAUUCAUCAUUAUUUGCACAUGUAGCUUUAUCAGUCUUGCACCUGACAUCCUAUAGACAUCAGGUGUUGGUCAGGUGAGCGUGGCUUGGCCUACCACAGACAUCGAAGAAAUGAACGGUUAGAGGCUUCCAUUGGAUUUCUCGGUGAUCUUGUUUGGAAGUAUGAAAGAUAAAACCUUGAGGAACGACCAAGAUAUUAUUGUUUAUUAUCAGUUGCAACAACCAGUGUUAGUAAUAACUGGAAGAAAAAGGGAAACACAAAAAUGUUUCAAUGGUUACUAAGCACAUGGGUUAUAUUCAGCAUAAUAAAACACUGGUUUUGUUAUGAUAUGGAAGAACAUACUAAAUUUUUGAAGAACUGAAUUUCUCGUGUUCUGGAAAGUGAAACUUCAUGCUAGAAUGCCAAGCUUACGAGGUGUUGGGUGCAAUUUAAGUACAAUAAGAUGGGUGUUUGGGAUGAGAGAAUGAAUGCAUGAGGUAAGGUGAUGAACCAAUUAAUAAUAAUAAUAAUGAUAAUAAUAAUAAUACAUGCUGAAGUUUGUUAUUAGAUGCUGAAUUGUGUUAUAUGCUAGUUUUAAAGUUAGUUUAUUAGCCUGUCCCAUAUAUGGUGAUUUCUUAAGACACAGAGGUUGCCAUAUCAACUAUAUGAGCUCAUAAUCACCAGAUCCUAUAAGUAAAAGUGCAGCAGGUAGCAUCAUUUCACAAAUUCAAGUACCAUCUUUGGAGACAGAUUGUGCUGGCUUCGCGGAAUGACAUGCUCCUCUUGAUCCUCUACUAGACUUUUAACAUCACCAAAACCCCAGAAAAUGACGCGAUGUGGCUGCAGGCCUCCCUAUCGCAGAAGACGUAAAAGAGGGGGGUUGGCAGGUCAGAGAGGAGGAAGAAGGGGAAAGAAAGGGAGACGAGUGUCGGUAGCGCACACAGUGUACUACUACAGGAAAGUCAGAUAGAGCUCCGAAGCCCUUCCUUUCUAUCAUCCAGCAUUUCCAGAAAUGUCAGGCAACAUCACCAAGAUUUCUGCCUCAUGAAUGAACCACAGUUCCAGCAAAGCCAGGCCGACUGAUGUUCUGAGAUGCUGAUGCCCUCCAAAGAGGAGCAAUGUGUCAUUAAACCUGAAGCUGCAACAUC